AAGAGACUGGGUUCUCACGAGCCCGACCUCCAACCCUUUGUCUACCAAACCUCUGUUGCCUCGGCGGGCCGCCGGCUCCUUUGAUUAGGUGCCGCCGUCGGCCUCUGCGCUCUCGAGUGCCCGCCGCAGGACUAUACAAACUCUUUUUGAACAAGUAUAAUCUGAGUGGAUAUUUAAUGCUUCAAUUA
rnacentral:misc_RNA from 1 species